GUUUGUAUUCCUGUGAAGCCUGUUCGUGUUAGAAAUGUUUGUUUGUCAGCGUUCAGCAUACAUUAACCAUUACACAUGUGUGCAUAUAAUUUUCGAACAUUUGGAUAUUCAUAUUGCAUUUUUUCCAUAUAUCUUUUGUUUGUUAUCCUCUGCUAGUUGGUAAUAUAUUUCCAAGCAGAUGUCGGUGGCUGAUCCCUCAAUAUAGAGAGUCAGCCCAUUAAGCAGAAAGUGUUUAUCUUUCCUUCCGCAUUCCAUUAAGCAGAAAGUGUUUAUCUUUCCUUCCGCAUUCCCCACUGAGUUAUAUCCUCGUGGACGACGGUUGUUUUCACUUCCUCCCAACACAUAUAUUGGGAUGGGUUCCCCU
rnacentral:lncRNA from 1 species